GCCAGCAGCCAUAUCACCCUGCAGCUCGCAACUGGCUACCCACUGAAGCUAAGCAGGGUUGAGCCUGGUCAGUACCUGGAUGGGAGACUUCCUGGGAAGCUAUGGUUGCUGCUGGAA
ensembl:rRNA 5S_rRNA 5S ribosomal RNA